rnacentral:sRNA from 2 species
CGGACUCUCACGCUCACUCACACCCGUACCGGCAGGAGCGGGGGACCCACACGCUUCAUGCCGUCCCGGUACCCCGGGACGGCUCGGGGUGAAGCCGCCGCGCGCAACUCGCCGGCGGACGGGCAGCUUCAGCCCGAACCCGACAGCUCACCCCGCAGGCGACGGAGAAGGAAUCC